GCGUCCAUUGUCUAAUGGAUAGGACAC
rnacentral:tRNA from 3 species